GACGAACGCUGGCGGCGUGCUUAACACAUGCCAGUCGAGCGGAAAGGCCACUUCGGUGGUACUCGAGCGGCGCACGGGUGAGUAACACGUGAGUAAUCUGCCCCUCACUUUGGGAUAGCCACCGGAAACGGUGAUUAAUACCGGAUAUGACCAUAUGUCGCAUGGCGUGUGGUGGAAAGUUUUUCGGUGAGGGAUGUGCUCGCGGCCUAUCAGCUUGAUGGUGAGGUAAUGGUUCACCAUGGCUUCGACGGGUAGCCGGCCUGAGAGGGUGACCGGUCACACUGGGACUGAGACACGGCGCAGACUCCUACGGGAGGCAGCAGUGGGGAAUAUUGGACAAUGGGCGGAAGCCUGAUCCAGCAACGCCGCGUGAGGGAUGACGGCCUUCGGGUUGUAAACCUCUUUCAGUACCGACGAAGCGCAAGUGACGGUAGGUACAGAAGAAGCACCGGCCAACUACGUG
rnacentral:rRNA from 1 species